AUGGACCCCAGCCAGAAUCACACCCAGGCCUGGCUGGUUUCAAAUCCUGUGCCCGCCAGCCCCAGGCUGCACCAAGAACUAGAGGACUGUGGGAGGCCAGCAGGCCUUGCCAAACUGGAAGGAACAAAGAAACAACGAACCCAGAGGAGUGAGCCAUAAGACAGGUGCCCUGGGUGGGUAAUGAGGCGGACGAGGCCUGGCCCCACCCACAAGACAGGGGUCUUUCCAGGCAGGGCGAGCUCUGGGUCCUCAACCCGGGGUUGGCAAGGAGCAGAUGGGGCAACUAAGGCCAAGGUCAUACCUCCCACGACCCUGCCGGGAGGGAGGGCCAAGUCCACCUGAAUGAAAAACCAGCCUCCGCAUUCCAUUUUGGGAGAAAGCAAGAGGGCAGCCAGCAGGGAGGGAGGCUGACUGAGGAGAUCCUCACGAACAGAGAGGCCAUGAUACUGACCAACCUAAACGAGAGGGGCUGAAGGUGACAUGGGAGAAAGAAGGCCUUCCCAGGGGCUGCCCAGAAAGGGCUCUUUGCUCUAUUUGUAAACAGUCAGGUCACAGGCUCGAGGAAGUAGGACUCCAUGGAAACACGGCCGCCUCAGGACAAAGUUCCAUCUCACUGGCCAAGAACCAAACAGCUGGGAGUUCAUGGUCACCCCACUGGGCUAGUCUCGCCCCACCCACCUGAGGCAAGCCGGGCCUGACUUUCUGCUCCACCAACCGCCCAUCCUGACGGUGCGGUGAGGGCCUGCCCGAUAUUCGAGCCUGCACCACCCAGCAGGCACCGCUCACACACCCACCAUCCUGCACACCCCGAUCCACACAGUCUGGCCUCCUCAUCCAACACCACUCGGCCGUGCCUGGCCUUGAACCGCCUCCCAAACCCAGAACUGAUCCCCCACAGCCACCUCCGAGCUGCACUCGGGCAUCUCCCAGCCUACACCAACCACCACGGCAGGGGCAGCUCUGCUCCUCCUCUUUCAGUGUCUAGAAAGGACCGGACACCAAGCCCAGUGGGGAAGGCAGUGAAGAAGGGGGCAGCAUGGCAGGACUCCCAAACUGGCCGGGAAAGGGGCCCAGAGAGGGCAGGUGACUCCACCAGGAUCACACAGCAGGGGGAGGCCGAGCCCAGCCAUGUUGGCAUUUCCUCCUCUAGCACAGCAAGCCCAGCUUUCCCCGGCCAUGCCUCGCCAGCCUCCUUCAGAGGCGCAGAUCUAAAAUGUCUGGGUGCUGGCCAGAGGGCAGGACAAGGGCAGCAAAGGGGUGGAGUGAGGAAGGCAGAGAGCUCAAGUGUCUCCCCCUCCA